rnacentral:rRNA from 1 species
CGACAAGCGGUGGAGCAUGUGGUUAAUUCGACGCAACGCGAAGACUUACCAGGCUUGACAUCCCCUGACCGCGUAUGAAAGUACGUUUUCACCCUCGGGUGACAGGGAGACAGGUGGUGCAUGGUUGUCGUCAGCUCGUGUCGUGAGAUGUUGGGUUAAGUCCCGCAACGAGCGCAACCCCUACGUUUAGUUGCUAACAGGUGAAGCUGAGCACUCUAGACGAACUGCCGUUGACAAAACGGGAGGAAGGUGGGGAUGACGUCAAAUCAUCAUGCCCCUUAUGUUCUGGGCUACACACGUGCUACAAUGGCCGGUACAGACGGAGGCGAAGCCGCGAGGCGGAGCAAAUCCGAAAAAGCCGGUCUCAGUUCGGAUUGCAGGCUGCAAUUCGCCUGCAUGAAGUCGGAAUCGCUAGUAAUCGCAGGUCAGCAUACUGCGGUGAAUACGUUCCCGGGCCUU